rnacentral:rRNA from 1 species
UUAGGAAUAUUCGUCAAUGGGGGAAACCCUGAACGAGCAAUGCCGCGUGAGUGAUGAAGGUCUUAUUGAUCGUAAAACUCUGUUAUAAGAGACGAAACCACAGUAUAGGAAAUGAUAUUGUGCUGACGGUAUCUUAUCAGAAAGCCCCGGCUAACUACGUGCCAGCAGCCGCGGUAAUACGUAGGGGGCGAGCGUUAUCCGGAUUUAUUGGGUGUAAAGGGUGCGUAGGCGGUUUGUUAAGUCUAAAAUCAAAGUCCGAGGCUCAACCUCGGUUCGUUUUAGAAACUGGCAGACUUGAGUAUGGUAGAGGCAAGUGGAAUUUCUAGUGUAGCGGUUAAAUGCGUAGAUAUUAGAAGGAACACCAGUGGCGAAGGCGUCUUGCUGGGCCAUUACUGACGCU